GCGGGGAUGCUGCAAGCAGUGCCGCCUCAUGGUACUCGGAGGGAGGUUGUCCGUGGUGAGUUCGCAUUAUUUAAUGAUGC
rnacentral:miRNA from 1 species